UACAGAGGUCCCGAGCGUUGUUCGGAUUCACUGGGCGUAAAGGGUGCGCAGGUGGGCUGGUAAGUUCGAUGUGAAAGUCCCGGGCUUAACCCGGGAAUGGCAUUGGAUACUACUGGUCUGGAGGAUCGGAGGGGGGACUGGAAUUCUUGGUGUAGCAGUGAAAUGCGUAGAUAUCAAGAGGAACACCAGUGGCGAAGGCGAGUCCCUGGACGAUACCUGACACUGAGGCACGAAAGCCAAGGGAGCAAACAGG
rnacentral:rRNA from 1 species